rnacentral:rRNA from 1 species
GAGCUUGCUCCUUGGGUGGCGAGUGGCGGACGGGUGAGGAAUACAUCGGAAUCUGCCUAUUUGUGGGGGAUAACGUAGGGAAACUUACGCUAAUACCGCAUACGACCUACGGGUGAAAGCGGAGGACCUUCGGGCUUCGCGCAGAUAGAUGAGCCGAUGUCGGAUUAGCUAGUUGGCGGGGUAAAGGCCCACCAAGGCGACGAUCCGUAGCUGGUCUGAGAGGAUGAUCAGCCACACUGGAACUGAGACACGGUCCAGACUCCUACGGGAGGCAGCAGUGGGGAAUAUUGGACAAUGGGCGCAAGCCUGAUCCAGCCAUGCCGCGUGGGUGAAGAAGGCCUUCGGGUUGUAAAGCCCUUUUGUUGGGAAAGAAAAGCAGUCGGUUAAUACCCGAUUGUUCUGACGGUACCCAAAGAAUAAGCACCGGCUAACUUCGUGCCAGCAGCCGCGGUAAUACGAAGGGUGCAAGCGUUACUCGGAAUUACUGGGCGUAAAGCGUGCGUAGGUGGUUUGUUAAGUCUGAUGUGAAAGCCCUGGGCUCAACCUGGGAAUUGCAUUGGAUACUGGCAGGCUAGAGUGCGGUAGAGGGUAGUGGAAUUCCCGGUGUAGCAGUGAAAUGCGUAGAGAUCGGGAGGAACAUCCG